AGGGUUAAGGCUUUAGCUAUGGAUGAUGUAGGUUUAUGAGGGUUUGCCUCCUCACAGCUAUCUUCUUGGUUUUAAUUAAUGUGAAGGGAGGGUUAGAUCAAGAUUUUUAUAGGUUAGAGAGAGAUCCUUUAUCUCAGUUUCUCUUUACCAUUGACAUAAUGACUAAAAGGCUGAAGGAUUAGGUUUGGUGGUGGGCAUUAAGAUUUAGAGAGUGUUGGUCACAACUCAUGACUAUCAUCUUCAAUUCAUAGUUGCCAUUAUUUUUUUCUUCAUCUAAUUCCACAUUUAAAGUUGCCAAUAUGAGUCGAUUUUUGAGAACAUUUAGCUUGGCCUUUGACCUCAAAAUUAAUAUGAGGACAAGUACUUGAUUUGAUCCCAACCUUAUUUAAGAGCAAGUAAAGAGUUUAUCCUCCACAUUAUGGUGCUACCUUAGGGGUUGGCUUGUUAAUUUCAUGGGCUUAGGAAUUAGCACAUCAGAGCACCUAGUUUUUGAAACCCAACUGUUGAAAGCAUGCCUAGGCCUAGUUGGUUUUUUUUUUGGUUGGUUGGGGUGGGGUGGGGGAGUAAAAGGUGGAAUUUCUUUGAUCUAGUUAUAUCUUACUCCUUGUUUCCUACUUUCUAUCUAUUUUCAGGAUCCUACUUCGUGUGACAGCUAGAUUGAGAGAAUCCAAAACAAGCUCCUCUGUUAAUUUUAACUCUUUUCUUAUAACCAUAGUUUUUUUUCCCCUCUCAAACUGUAAAACCUUUUAAAUAUAAUCCAUCUUUAAUAAUUUCAAUUCUUGGAAUUUGAUUUCUAAGGCAACCCCGUUGAUUGAGAAAUGAAGACUUAGGCUCUCUCUUAUAUUAAGUCUUUAUAUGUAGCCUCUCUUGAAGACUUUAUAUGUGGAAAAAACUGUUGUCUUGAAUAAACUAGAUUAUAAUGAAGACUUUAUAUGUUGUCUUGAAUAAGCUGAUUAAGAAACAAUUCUUGGAAUGAAGACAACAUAUAUUCUUAGAAAAAGUAUAUUUCUGGGACGAGUAGUAGAAAUUAAGAGAGUUAAAUCUGGAAGAAGUGGAGGCUAGAAAGGAGGCAAAGGAGGAUUAUAAGAAAUAGGUUCUCAUGGAGGAAGUCUCUUGGAGACAAAAGUCAAGAGAAGUUUGGUUGAGGGAAGGAGAUAGAAACACAUGCUACUUCCAUAGGAUGGCAAAUGCCCACAAAAGGAGAAAUUGCUUGGCUAAGAUUAAAAUUAACGACUCUUGUUUUUUAGAGGCAAAUGAGAUUAGGUGGGGGGUUAGGGCCUUUCAGAAUCUGUUGACGAAUCUAGGAGAUUGGCGCCUCCAUUGCUUUCUAGCAGUUUAGUCGGGAGUUUGUGAAGGAAGAAAUUAUGGGCUUUUUUAGAGAUUUCCAUGAGCGAGGGAGAUUUGUUAGAAGCCUGAAUGCUAUGUUUUUGGUUUUAAUCCCAAAAAAAGGUGGUGCAGAUGACCUUAGAGACUUUAGACCCAUUAGCUUGGUGGGUGGUAUUUACAAGCUGUUGGCUGAAGUGUUAGCUAACAGGCUGAAAAAGGUGAUCAAUAGGGUGGUGUCUCCAGCCCAAAACGCGUUUGUUGAAGGAAGGCAAAUUUUUGAUGUUGCGUUGAUAGCUAAUGAGACUAUUGAUUCUAUGUUAAAAAGGAAUGAGAGGGGGGUGUUAUGUAAACUGGAUUUAGAAAAGGCUUAUGACCACCUAAAUUGGAAUUUUUUGCUGACUGUGAUGCAAAAAAUGGGCUUUGGGGGAGCAGUGGGCAGGUUGAAUAAGUUGAUGUAUCUCCUUUGCAUUGUUUUCGAUCUUGGUUAAUGACACUCCUUUAGGUUUCUUUCAAAGCACUAGGGGUUUGAGGCAGGGGGAUCCCUUAUUGCUUUACCUCUUUGUGAUUGGGAUGGAGGCCCUAAGCUGCCUCAUUAAUAGAGCUGUGAGUGGGGGUUUCUUAUCAGGCUGCAGGGUUAGGGGAAGGGGAGGAAAUGGGGUUCAAGUUACCCACUUGUUGUUCACUGAUGAUACUAUGGUGUUUUGUGAAGCUUCCUUAGAGCAGAUGACCUUUUUGAGUUGGAUUUUAAUGUGGUUUGAAACCAUUUCAGGGCCGAAAAUCAACUUGGACAAGAGUGAAAUCCUUCUGGUAGGAAGGGUUGAGAAUGUGGAGGAUUUGGUCCUUGAACUUGGUUGCAAGGUGGGGCCGCAACCUUCCUCUUACUUGGGGCUCCCCUUGGGGGCUGCUCAUAAAUCAGUGGCGGUUUGGGAUGGGGUGGAGGAGAGAUUCCGAAAGAGGCUUGCCAUGUGAAAAAGACAAUUUAUUUCCAAAGGAGGGAGGAUCACCCUCAUUUGGAGCACUUUGUCAAGUAUGCCCAUAUACCUCAUGUCCCUUGUGCAUAUGCCACGAGUGGUUAGAUUGAGAUUAGAGAAAAUUCAAAGGGACUUCCUUUGGGGUGGGGGAGGGUUGGAGAAGAAGCCUCAUCUUGUAAAGUGGGAGGUUGUUUGUUCUGAUAGAAGGAAGGGCGGUUUGGGUGUUAGAAGCAUAUCGAAUCUUAAUAGAGCCCUAUUGGGUAAAUGGAGUUGGCGUUUCAUGGAAGAACAGGGGACACUAUGGAAACAAGUGAUAAGUAGGAAGUAUGGGGUAGAAGAAGGGGGGUGGUGUACUCGAGAAGUGAGGGAGGGGUAUGGUGUGGGGUUUUGGAAGGAAAUAAGGAAGGAAUGACCUUUAAUGAGGAGCAAUUUUGUUUUCUCCAUGGGGGAUGGAAGAAGAGUGAGAUUUUGGAAGGAUAGGUGGUGUGGUGAUGACACUUUAAGCAUUUCCUUCCUUUCGUUGUUCUUGCUGGCGGUUUUUAAAGAGGAGUGGGUGGUAAAGGUGUGGGUUGCUUUGGGGGAGGAGGGGGGGCUGGAAUCCACGUUUUUCUAGGCCGUUAAUGAUUGGGAGAUGGAGAUCCAGUGGGUCUUUCCAGAUACUGUAAAGG
rnacentral:lncRNA from 1 species